GCUGGGUGUGGUGGUGCACGCCUGUAAUCCCAGCUACUUAGGAGGCUGAGGCAGGAGAAUCGCUUGAAUCCGGGAUGGGGAGGUCGCAGUGGGCUGAGAUCGUGCCACUGCACUCCAACCUGGGCAACACAGUGAGACCCUGUCUCAA
ensembl:misc_RNA Metazoa_SRP Metazoan signal recognition particle RNA